rnacentral:tRNA from 1 species
GUCCCGCUGGUGUAAUGGAUAGCAUACGAUCCUUCUAAGUUUGCGGUCCUG